rnacentral:misc_RNA from 1 species
UCCGGUUUGUCACCGGCAGUCUUGCAUGAGUCCCCGGCCGAACCGCUGGCAACAUGCAACGGGGGUUGCGCUCGUUGCGGCACUUAAGCCAACACCUCACGGCACGAGCUGACGACAGCCAUGCAGCACCUGUCACUCUGUCCCCUUGCGGGGAAGACCCUAUUUCUAGGGCUGUCAGAGGAUGUCAAGCCCAGGUAAGGUUCUUCGCGUUGCAUCGAAUUAAACCACAUACUCCACCGCUUGUGCGGGCCCCCGUCAAUUCCUUUGAGUUUCAGUCUUGCGACCGUACUCCCCAGGCGGCGAACUUAACGCGUUAGCUUCGAUACUGCGUGCCAAAUUGCACCCAACAUCCAGUUCGCAUCGUUUAGGGCGUGGACUAC